UACGAAGGGGGCUAGCGUUGCUCGGAAUUACUGGGCGUAAAGGGCUUGUAGGCGGCCAACUAAGUCAGACGUGAAAUCCCUCGAGCUUAACUGGGGAACUGCGUCUGAUACUGGAUGGCUUGGAUUCGGGAGAGGAAUGCGGGAAUUCCAGGUGUAGCGGUGAAAUGCGCAGAUAUCAGGAGGAACACCGGUGGCGAAGGCGGGUCUCUGGGCAACAACUGACGCUGAGGAGCGAAAGCGUGGGGAGCGA
rnacentral:rRNA from 1 species